GGGAUGUUUCUUCUCCUAUAGCUAAAGCCAUUUUGGCGCUUUCCGAUGAGCUCGCGGCCUAUCAGCUUGUUGGUGGAGGUAAUGGCCCACCAAGGCGAUGACGGGUAGCUGGUCUGAGAGGACGAUCAGCCACACUGGAACUGAGACACGGUCCAGACACCUAUGGGUGGCAGCAGUCGAGAAUUUUUCACAAUGGGGGGAACCCUGAUGAAGCAACGCCGCGUGGAGGAUGAAGGGCUUCGCGCUCGUAAACUCCUGUCAAGCGGGAACAAGAAAGUGAUAGUACCGCUAGAGGAAGAGACGGCUAACUCUGUGCCAGCAGCCGCGGUAAUACAGAGGUCUCGAGCGUUGUUCGGAUUUAUUGGGCGUAAAGGGUGCGUAGGCGGUGUGGCAAGUCAAGUGUGAAAUCUCGGAGCUCAACUCUGAAACUGCACUUGUUACUGCCGUGCUAGAGGGUUGUAGAGGAGAUCGGAAUUCACGGUGUAGCAGUGAAAUGCGUAGAUAUCGUGAGGAAGACCAGUUGCGAAAGCGGAUCUCUGGGCAAUUCCUGACGCUGAGGCACGAAGGCUAGGGGAGCAAACGGGAUUAGAUACCCCGGUAGUCCUAGCAGUAAACGGUGCACGUUUGGUAUGGGCAGAUUCGACCCUGUCCGUGCCGGAGCUAACGCGUUAAACGUGCCGCCUGAGAAGUACGGCCGCAAGGCUAAAACUCAAAGAAAUUGACGGGGGCCCGCACAAGCGGUGGAGUAUGUGGCUUAAUUCGAUGCAACGCGAAGAACCUUACCUGGCCUUGACAUGUAGCGUGACAGCUGAUGAAAGUCAGUGACGGUCCGAGAGGAUGCUGGGGCUACACAGGUGCUGCAUGGCUGUCGUCAGCUCGUGUCGUGAGAUGUUGGGUUAAGUCCCGCAACGAGCGCAACCCCUAUGAGCUGUUACUCUCCUAACAAGGUGUACUCUGCUCAGACUGCCCUGCGAAACGGGGAGGAAGGUGGGGAUGACGUCAAGUCAGCAUGGCCCUUACGGCCAGGGCUGCACACGUACUACAAUGCGCACUACAGAACGAUCCGAAAUCGUGAGAUGGAGGAAAUCCCUAAAGGUGCGCCCAGUUCGGAUUGUAGGCUGCAACUCGCCUACAUGAAGCCUGAAUCGCUAGUAAUGGCGCAUCAGCUACGGCGCCGUGAAUACGUUCCCGGGCCUUGUACACAC
rnacentral:rRNA from 1 species